rnacentral:lncRNA from 1 species
GAAUUUCCUUGACCCUUGACUUCCCUUUGCUUUCUUGGUUCCUGAAUUUGUUCUAGAAUCUGGCUUCCAGAUUCCAUCUGGUCACUUGAAUAGGCAGUCUAGUUGGAUCUGUCUCUGUUGGUGUUGGCAUUUUGCACGUGAUAGGAUAUGUCCUCAGGGAAAAGGACACAACUGAGGGCUCCAAGGUAUUCCCUAUAGGACUUGAUCCCCUCACCCCCCUGCCUCCUGGCCUCCACCCAGCUGUCUGGGAGGAUUGGGACCUUCUAGAGUCAGAGCCCUGCUUAGAAAAGUCAGCUGACUGCCUGCCUCAGAUGCCUCUUUCUCCUCUUCUGCCUUUCAAAGAAGCGGUAGUUGCCCCUACUAUGGAAGUCAGGAGAAAAGAGGUAGAAAGGAGAGGAGUUCAUAUCACUGCAGAAAGUUCUGUUGGACAGCCCUGCCACCACAGAAUGGCAGCUGCAGAGAGCCUGGGCAGGCACUGCACACCCCUCCUAGACCUCUCCCUGCGAGGACUGUAAGUGAUGUAUCAGUGCAAUGUUUACUUCCUGUGAUGAAGCUGAUGAAAAUUCAGCUGUGUCUGUAUUGCCACCUUAGAGGAUGCAAUACUUGGCUUGGUUGAAAAUCUGCAUGUGAGCAGGGUAAAAUGUGCAUGGGAAGAAGAUGAAACAAAUGUCCCCAAACAUCAGAUAUGAUUAUUUUGAGUAAGGGGAAUAUAGGCUAUCGUCUUGCUUCUGGUUAUUUGUAGUAGAUGAUGCAGCUAGGAUUCUUGUCUAUAGGCUACCACUAGCCCGCAUCACCUCCUUCAUGGUCCAGGUGACUUUGAAUUCCUAGAAACAGCCAUGCCUCUGAAGCUGUGGCGCUCUGUUUGGAUUUCCUCAUCCCAUGAACUGGUUAAGAUGAUUUGAGGUGGGUUUGUGUAUGUCAAUGAAUGGUGCUCACUGGGGUCUAGGUUCAGGGGCUUCAUUAUACUAGUGUCACUACUUAAAAAAAAUCCCAUUGAAACAGUGAAUGGUGAUUAGCAGUAUUAUCUGAUGUAGAAGUUCAGAAAUGUGUUGGUUAACUUGGCAAUGUUCUGGGGGGCUUUUUAAGAGAAUGUUGUGGAGAAAAGCCAGAAGGCCAAGGGAAGAAAUGUAGGGGUGUUAGGAGUGAGGA